rnacentral:tRNA from 1 species
GCCGUGGUGGCGCAACGGUUAAGAGCUUGGAUGCUAACCAGAGGGUUGGUGGUUCAAACCCACCCAGUGGCU